UUAAGUUAUUAAGGGCGCACGGUGGAUGCCUUGGCACUAGAAGCCGAUGAAGGACGUUACUAACGACGAUAUGCUUUGGGGAGCUGUAAGUAAGCUUUGAUCCAGAGAUUUCCGAAUGGGGAAACCCAGCAUGAGUUAUGUCAUGUUAUCGAUAUGUGAAUACAUAGCAUAUCAGAAGGCACACCCGGAGAACUGAAACAUCUUAGUACCCGGAGGAAGAGAAAGAAAAUUCGAUUCCCUUAGUAGCGGCGAGCGAAACGGGAAGAGCCCAAACCAACAAGCUUGCUUGUUGGGGUUGUAGGACACUCUGUACGGAGUUACAAAGGACGACAUUAGACGAAUCAUCUGGAAAGAUGAAUCAAAGAAGGUAAUAAUCCUGUAGUCGAAAAUGUUGUCUCUCUUGAGUGGAUCCUGAGUACGACGGAGCACGUGAAAUUCCGUCGGAAUCUGGGAGGACCAUCUCCUAAGGCUAAAUACUCUCUAGUGACCGAUAGUGAACCAGUACCGUGAGGGAAAGGUGAAAAGCACCCCGGAAGGGGAGUGAAAUAGAACCUGAAACCGUGUGCUUACAAGUAGUCAGAGCCCGUUAAUGGGUGAUGGCGUGCCUUUUGUAGAAUGAACCGGCGAGUUACGAUUUGAUGCAAGGUUAAGCAGUAAAUGUGGAGCCGUAGCGAAAGCGAGUCUGAAUAGGGCGUUUAGUAUUUGGUCGUAGACCCGAAACCAGGUGAUCUACCCUUGGUCAGGUUGAAGUUCAGGUAACACUGAAUGGAGGACCGAACCGACUUACGUUGAAAAGUGAGCGGAUGAACUGAGGGUAGCGGAGAAAUUCCAAUCGAACCUGGAGAUAGCUGGUUCUCUCCGAAAUAGCUUUAGGGCUAGCCUCAAGUGAUGAUUAUUGGAGGUAGAGCACUGUUUGGACGAGGGGCCCCUCUCGGGUUACCGAAUUCAGACAAACUCCGAAUGCCAAUUAAUUUAACUUGGGAGUCAGAACAUGGGUGAUAAGGUCCGUGUUCGAAAGGGAAACAGCCCAGACCACCAGCUAAGGUCCCAAAAUAUAUGUUAAGUGGAAAAGGAUGUGGCGUUGCCCAGACAACUAGGAUGUUGGCUUAGAAGCAGCCAUCAUUUAAAGAGUGCGUAAUAGCUCACUAGUCGAGUGACACUGCGCCGAAAAUGUACCGGGGCUAAACAUAUUACCGAAGCUGUGGAUUGUCCUUUGGACAAUGGUAGGAGAGCGUUCUAAGGGCGUUGAAGCAUGAUCGUAAGGACAUGUGGAGCGCUUAGAAGUGAGAAUGCCGGUGUGAGUAGCGAAAGACGGGUGAGAAUCCCGUCCACCGAUUGACUAAGGUUUCCAGAGGAAGGCUCGUCCGCUCUGGGUUAGUCGGGUCCUAAGCUGAGGCCGACAGGCGUAGGCGAUGGAUAACAGGUUGAUAUUCCUGUACCACCUAUAAUCGUUUUAAUCGAUGGGGGGACGCAGUAGGAUAGGCGAAGCGUGCGAUUGGAUUGCACGUCUAAGCAGUAAGGCUGAGUAUUAGGCAAAUCCGGUACUCGUUAAGGCUGAGCUGUGAUGGGGAGAAGACAUUGNGUCUUCGAGUCGUUGAUUUCACACUGCCGAGAAAAGCCUCUAGAUAGAAAAUAGGUGCCCGUACCGCAAACCGACACAGGUAGUCAAGAUGAGAAUUCUAAGGUGAGCGAGCGAACUCUCGUUAAGGAACUCGGCAAAAUGACCCCGUAACUUCGGGAGAAGGGGUGCUCUUUAGGGUUAACGCCCAGAAGAGCCGCAGUGAAUAGGCCCAAGCGACUGUUUAUCAGAAACACAGGUCUCUGCUAAACCGUAAGGUGAUGUAUAGGGGCUGACGCCUGCCCGGUGCUGGAAGGUUAAGAGGAGUGGUUAGCUUCUGCGAAGCUACGAAUCGAAGCCCCAGUAAACGGCGGCCGUAACUAUAACGGUCCUAAGGUAGCGAAAUUCCUUGUCGGGUAAGUUCCGACCCGCACGAAAGGCGUAACGAUUUGGGCACUGUCUCAACGAGAGACUCGGUGAAAUCAUAGUACCUGUGAAGAUGCAGGUUACCCGCGACAGGACGGAAAGACCCCGUGGAGCUUUACUGUAGCCUGAUAUUGAAAUUCGGCACAGCUUGUACAGGAUAGGUAGGAGCCUUUGAAACGUGAGUGCUAGCUUACGUGGAGGCGCUGGUGGGAUACUACCCUAGCUGUGUUGGCUUUCUAACCCGCACCACUUAUCGUGGUGGGAGACAGUGUCAGGCGGGCAGUUUGACUGGGGCGGUCGCCUCCUAAAAGGUAACGGAGGCGCUCAAAGGUUCCCUCAGAAUGGUUGGAAAUCAUUCAUAGAGUGUAAAGGCAUAAGGG
rnacentral:rRNA from 1 species